CAGUCGCCGCGGUAAUACGUAGGGUGCGAGCGUUAAUCGGAAUUACUGGGCGUAAAGCGUGCGCAGGCAGUUUUGUAAGACAGGCGUGAAAUCCCCGGGCUCAACCUGGGAAUGGCGCUUGUGACUGCAAAGCUAGAGUGCGGCAGAGGGGGAUGGAAUUCCGCGUGUAGCAGUGAAAUGCGUAGAUAUGCGGAGGAACACCGAUGGCGAAGGCAAUCCCCUGGGCCUGCACUGACGCUCAUGCACGAAAGCGUGGGGAGCAAACAGGAUUAGAUACCCCCGUAGUCCCUGUCUCUUAUAU
rnacentral:rRNA from 1 species